CCCGACUCCUACGGGAGGCAGCAGUGGGGAAUAUUGCACAAUGGGCGCAAGCCUGAUGCAGCCAUGCCGCGUGUAUGAAGAAGGCCUUCGGGUUGUAAAGUACUUUCAGCGGGGAGGAAGGGGUUAAGGUUAAUAACCUUAGCCAUUGACGUUACCCGCAGAAGAAGCACCGGCUAACUCCGUGCCAGCAGCCGCGGGAAUACGGAGGGUGCAAGCGCUAAUCGGAAUUACUGGGCGUAAAGCGCACGCAGGCGGUCGGUCAAGUCGGAUGGGAAAUCCCCGGGCUCAACCGGGGAACUGCAUUCGAAACUGGCAGGCUUGAGUCUCGUAGAGGGGGGUAGAAUUCCAGGUGUAGCGGUGAAAUGCGAAGAGAUCUGGAGGAAUACCGGUGGCGAAGGCGGCCCCCUGGACGAAGACUGACGCUCAGGUGCGAAAGCGUGGGGAGCAAACAGGAUUAGAUACCCCAGUAC
rnacentral:rRNA from 1 species